AUUUAUUCCAUUUAUUUUGGAAAUAUAAGUGAUUUGAUUGAAGAAGUAGCUUAAAAUUUAUCUCCACAGUAGCUUAUGACUUAGUUUUGUAUUGGUUUUUGUUUUGUUUUUUUUUAAGGCUAGUCAAGUGGAGAUGGAACAAAGAAACCUGUAACUGAUUGUGAUCAAUUAGUGGCAAACAGCACUGCACACACACCAGCCUGAAUUGUAUUUUAAGCCUUAGCUUUAGAAUUCUGGCAUUAAAUCCAUUAUGUAAGUUCUUUCUUAUCAGUAGGGCGAAAAUUAAAUAUGUAUCAUAACUGGACUUAACCUUUUGAUUAUUUUUGACUAUUUCAGUGAUUAAAAAUUUAAUGUCCAGUAUUCAUCCCCCACACUCUCUCAUACUGUAGCAUGAAAUAUAAUCUGAAACUUAAAAUUGAUUCAAAUUAUUUUCCCUACCUUAUUUACAGCUGCUGUUUUUAUUUUUAAGGAAUGGUCGUUGGAGGUCAGAAUGGAAGUUUACAAUCACUCCUUCAACCACUCAAGUGGUUGGCAUCUUGAAAAUUCAGGUUCAUUAUUAUGAAGAUGGUAAUGUUCAGCUAGUGAGUCAUAAAGAUAUACAAGAUUCCCUAACAGUGUCUAAUGAAGUGCAAACAGCAAAAGAAUUUAUAAAGAUUGUAGAAGCUGCAGAAAAUGAAUACCAG
rnacentral:sRNA from 1 species